AGACCGAUAGCGAACAAGACCGAUAGCGAACAAGAUGAAAAGUACUUUGAAAAGAGAGUUAAACAGUAUGUGAAAUUGCCAAGAGGGAAGCAUUUGGAGUUAGACUGACUUGGAAGUUAAUCAGCUUGGUCUUUGGACUGGGUGUACUUGACUUCUAUGUCUGCCAAUAGCAGUUAGUCCUGGUGGAAAAAACUGAAGGGAAGGUAGUCCUUCGGGAUGUUUAUAGACCUUUGGAAAAUACACUGGGAUUGACUGAGGAAUGCAGUAGAUGCUAUUAAGGCUUCGUCUAGUAGGUGUUAGGUGAAGGUACUUGGUAUUUUCAGCUUGCUGAUGUGCUAGGUUACUUGAGCUUAAUUGCUUGCUAGAACUGUAAUCUACUUUGGUUAUUGGCUUAAUGACUCUAAAUGACCCGUCUUGAAACACGGACCAAG
rnacentral:rRNA from 1 species